CCCUACGGGGUGCAGCAGGCGAGAAAACUUUGCAAUGUGCGAAAGCACGACAAGGUUAAUCCGAGUGGUUUGUGCUAAACGAACCUUUUGUCGGUCCUAGAAACACCGAUGAAUAAGGGGUGGGCAAGUUCUGGUGUCAGCCGCCGCGGUAAAACCAGCACCUCAAGUGGUCAGGAUGAUUAUUGGGCCUAAAGCAUCCGUAGCCGGCUCUGUAAGUUUUCGGUUAAAUCUGUACGCUCAACGUACAGGCUGCCGGGAAUACUGCAGAGCUAGGGAGUGGGAGAGGUAGACGGUACUCGGUAGGAAGGGGUAAAAUCCUUUGAUCUAUUGAUGACCACCUGUGGCGAAGGCGGUCUACCAGAACACGUCCGACGGUGAGGGAUGAAAGCUGGGGGAGCAAACCGGAUUAGAUACCCGGGUAGUCCCAGCUGUAAACUAUGCAAGCUCAGUGAUGCAUUGGCUUGUGGCCAAUGCAGUGCUGCAGGGAAGCCGUUAAGUUUGCCGCCUGGGAAGUACGUACGCAAGUAUGAAACUUAAAGGAAUUGGCGGGGGAGCACCACAAGGGGUGAAGCCUGCGGUUCAAUUGGAGUCAACGCCAGAAAUCUUACCCGGAGAGACAGCAGAAUGAAGGUCAAGCUGAAGACUUUACCAGACAAGCUGAGAGGAGGUGCAUGGCC
rnacentral:rRNA from 1 species